rnacentral:rRNA from 1 species
GACGAAGGAUGCAAGCGUUAUCCGGAGUUACUGGGCGUAAAGCGCGGCAGGCGGGUCUGACAAGUCUGAUGUGAAAUCUCCGGGCUUAACCGGGAGAGGCCAUUGGAAACUGACAGCGUGGGAAGGGCAUAGAGGUAGGCGGAAUUCCGGGUGGAGUGGUGAAUGCGUAGAGAUCCGGAGGAACACCAGAGGCGAAGGCGGCCUACUGGCUGGCACCUGACGCUGAGCCGCGAAAGCCAGGGAGCG